CUUUGCACACGCGGGAGCUCGGAGCACCGGGCUGAGAGGGCGCUGACCUCCGUAGACGCGAUGUUUCACGUGGAACGAGCGAUGUUCCACAGGAGGCGUCGGACCGACGGAAACCGCUGCGUCGACCGCCGAACCUGUUACCGGGUAAUGCCGGCGUAGGGAGUAGGUCUCAUGACCAA
rnacentral:ncRNA from 1 species